CUGUCUUCAACCAAACCAGGAUUUACCCAGCCUCCAGGAGUGAAUUGGGAACAUCCCCUCGGCCGUUCACACACAGAGGUCACCUCUCUGGACGUGCGGGAAACCUCGGUGCUUCUUGCAGCAGCACAAAGACUGCAGAGUCACAUGGACGUCAACCAGGGGAUGCUACAGGGCAAAUAUCUGCCCGUACCCCUGCUUGGAAAGCUUCUGAUCUGCCCCAACAUCUCUGAGCAGCAACAGAGGAGAUGGUUUCCUACAAAGCGGAUGGUUUCUGCUCCAGGCUUUGAUCUUUCCAGAUACGGCUGCUGUGCUGCAAAGCUGCCGUGCAGACAACCUCCUGCCUUGCCUUCUUCUGCGGUUUGCGGUGGGGGAAAAAUAAUCCCAUGAAUGGCCGACAAAGCCUUCCAUGAUAAGCCCCCAGCAAAAUCAAGGAGCCCAAUUCUCCUCUAGGUUACUAUAAGCAGCUGCAAGGAACUGAACCGGCAUCCGUGAAAGGAGAAUGAGUAGCUCAAGGGGGUUGCAUGGGAGGUAAAAUAAGAUUAGAUCUAACCCACUGUCUUUAUGGUGCAUGGACUGAGCAAGCCUCUCCCUUCCUCAGCCUGCAUCCUGGGGGCUAGACUUCAUUUCUCCCUCCCUCUUAGGGGAUGUGGAUUCACCUGGCCUGGCGGGUUACAUGGCUCUGCUAAUUUUGGAGGAGCUUUCAAGAUGCUCAAGAAGAGGAGAUGGCUUUUGACUGUGGCAGGCGAGGAAAGCAGACGGUGACCAUGAAAGGCAGACUUUAAAGCCAGUUCUUUUCACGCAUCGUUAAGGCAGGAAUUCAUUAAAACAUCAUCAAAACAAAUGCUUGGAUCAAGUUCAUGCCCAGACAGCCCCAAACCUCCCAUUCAGGGUAUGAUAAUAAUGCUCAGAGAUUUGUAUCCCAAGAGAGGGUGAACAAGGCACUUCGGGAUUAUGCUGGGGAAAAUUCGCAGGCGGGUCCAAGUGAAUGAUGAGCCUCGAUCCAACUGGGAUCCUAAACCACUAACAGCACUUUGGAAAAAUCUGUCCAUUGCUCUUUGCCCCGGACUCCCUAGUGCUUAAGCCAGCGUAGGAGCAACACGCUGUAUAAACCUAAAAAAAAGAUCAUUUUUUUGCAAUUCUUUAGUCUAAUAAAAGGUAUCAUCUCCGA